rnacentral:lncRNA from 1 species
AUUGAAACUAGUUUUGUAGAAUGAGUAUCCCAUCAAAACAAUAGAUUCACUAAUACUUAAGGGUUUAUUCAUACUUUUAUUAAGUAUAACAUAAGAUUUUGUGGUAUCCACUAGUGUAAAUAUUUUAAAUUGAAGAUCGAAUUCAAUCACUGUAUUCAUAUAGGGUCAAUGAGUGUGGUUGUAAAAAAUCAUCAAAAUUGGAGUUAAAAUGACCGUUAAAUCGUGAUUUUUCGUUUAUAACCGUUAAAAAGUUUUGUCCCAUUACUUGCUCUCUGAAUGUUUGUUUUUUGCAAUUUUUGGCGUAUGCGAUCUCAAAGUAUAUACAAACAUGUUUGCUGGUUGGAUUGUUGAAAUUAGUUUCGUAUAAUUCGUAUCC